CUCUUUCUCUCCUUUCUUCUUGUGCCUACUUCCAAACACACCUCUAUGACAUGUCGCGGAUGUGCGUGGACAUCUUCACUUCGGAUCGAAGGCUGGAGGAUAAAGAAGGGAAACAUGUUUAAAAGUGCCACAAAAGCGCUCAGGAUGUGAGAGACUUGAUCACUGACCGUCAUUAUCAUUGCCCUCUGUUCAGGUCAGCCUUGCACACGUCACUACCUCUCUGUAUUGUUUAUUGUUAUAAAGAUCAGACAUGCUAUCUCCUUACCUCGCCAACAUGCCGCUGUUCUGGCAACACAGACUCUCUGGCUGCUACAGUGACUCAUAGUAGAGCUCAAGCACUUCAUGUUUGCUCCUCUUUUUAGCCAUUUACACCCUACAAAAGGGAGGGAUCAUGCUAGAGGUUCAGUCAUAUAUAAGGAUUAUUAAAGGAACAUGAUGUCGAAAGGUAAACUUCAACUCUGCGCCCGCCCAACAGGCAGACAGGGCUGGGAGGCAGCGCAAACAGAAUGGAUGUAUUUGCUUUUCAUGUGAAAAUCAAUGGGCCCAGACAGAUGGCGGUUUGUUUCCUCACUAUUUACUCCCCGGCUCCAUGACAAAUGUCCUCGCCGCCCCUCCUGGGCUGACGGUGCACAGAUCAAGAAGAUAGAAAACAUGUGCUAUCUCAGCACAUCCUCCAGUUCACAAUAGUUAAGGAUUAUAUGUUGAAAAAUGAUGGGUGUAUUUUUUCCUGAAGCCCCGUUGAGAUUUGCACCUCCCUCUGCGUGGCGUCUCCUCUCCUCUGACCCAGCCUGGAGGUGACGAGGCUGAAGC